rnacentral:lncRNA from 1 species
CACAAUCUGAAACUCUAGUCACCCUUCUAGAUCUUAAGAACCCUUACAGAUGUAACAAUAGAUGUUGAUUUAAUGCUUUGAAAUUUCGAUUUUUUGAUUGUCUGAUUCAUUUGAUCUUUGAAAAUUGAUGUUUGAUAAUUAAAAUAUGUUGUAUAGGAUCAAAUAAUGUUCAACCACACUUUAGGAUGUUGAAUGACUUAAAUAAUAUGAAGUAUUUGGGUUGAAAUAGGAUUGGAAAAAUUUGUAAAAAUCAUGAAACAUGCAUUGGCUAUCCUAAUCGUGCUUGAGUGCCAAUGUAACGGUCAUUGAGUGGCAGGCUUCUUGUAGGCUGUUGAGCUCCUGCUUGGCGUACACGAGCGAUUUUCUAGCUAUUUUUUCUCCUUGGUCCAUGUUUGAUCUUCUUAGCUCCUUGUGGACCUAUUCCACUAUCCCAAACAACUUUUUGACUUUAAAUACAACUCUAUUACUUUGAUUUGGUCUAGGAUUUGUCAAUUUACAAUUUAAACCUAACAAACUCCUCUUUUAGCAUUCUGUGACAAAAUUAAGUGGUGUUUGAUUCUCAUUUUUCCUAAAAUAUAUUCUCUCUUCUUUUCAACAACAUUUUCUUCAUUUAAAUAAUAUUGUAUGCAAAUUUAAAAAAAUUCCUUCUUUUUUAACCACACAUUCUACCUUAAUUUACUAUUCCAAAAUACAUUCUUUAAAAAAAAUGUAGCUCAAACACACUCUAAGUAUUACAAAGACAAAUUAUGAAAAAUUAAACUUCUUCUAUCUACCCAAGCCCCAAUGACUCAACCAUAUCUUGUAUUCCUUGUCUAACUUAUUUCCUAAAAUCAACAACUCAAAUACCAAGUAUAAAACUGCUUGAAAGAGUUACAGAAAUAACAUGUAUCAGUUGACAUAAAUAAUAUGAGUAUCAAACUAGAUAUAUUAAGACAUGAUAUUAAUGUUAAGCAGAACACCAAAAUCAAUAUCAAUACUAUAUUAAUAUGGCAUAGCAAAAUAUCAAAAAAAUUUAAAUACAUUUCAACUACAACAUCCAUACAUCCCAAUAAUAUCAUAUGGACUCCUAUAUGUCUCACUGUCCUCAUCUUCGUCAUUCUAAUGUUGGUGAAUCCACUUUGCAUCAAUCUACAGAGCAGCAACAUUAGCAAUAAGUCGCUCAGAGGUGGACUGUAGUAGGGUAAUGUUAGCCAUCAUACGAGCCUAGUGCUCAAGAAAAGUAGAUAAUUGGCCCGUAAUCACUACUGAGGGGUCAAUAGGACCAAAAGCAGGUGGAGAACAGUAGCAAAGGUAUUAGCAAUAAGUCGCUUAGAUGUGGACUGUAGUAGGGUAAUGUCAGCCAUCAUACGAGCCUAGUGCUCAAGAAAAAUAGAUAAUUGGCCCGUAAUCACCACUGAGGAGUCAAUAGGACCAAAAGUAGGUGGAGGAAUAGUAGCAAAGGUCGAAGGUAUAUCACGAUCAAACGAAGUAGGAACAUCAUGAUUAGAUGGACUAGAAAUAUCGAAAAUAGGAUUAGAAAAUGGAGGUGAGACCUGAGGAGGCAGAGGUAGUUCAUCGAUCGACUUAGAAGAAUUAAGAAUGUGAUACUUACUCUGAGCUAGAGUGACACGACCUGUCCUGAUCACUCGAUGAACCCGAAAUGUGACGUGCUUAGAUGGUAUAUACUUACUUGAUGUUAGAUCCAUCACCAAGGCUCACUAUGAGUUACUACAAAUAUGCGACAAAAUCAAAUAUUUAUAAAAACAUAAUGCAAUGUGCCGAAAUAAUUACUUCAUAUUUUACCAAAACGAAUCAUAUAACUCAAUAUGUUAUGUAGCUAACUCUUAAAUCACCAGGCUCUUCAAGCUAUCAACGAUCAAUAUUACCUAUAAGAAUACAUUUAGAAAAAUAUGAGCUGAUUGCUCAGUGAGUGGAAGAGUUCGAAAAUAUUUAUACUUUCUCAUUUAAACAUUUUUAUCAAACAUCGAGUUCAUAUCGUUUAAUAUUUCACAUGAUAGCCUCAUACAAGUAUAAAUAAAAAUUGACACAUUCUCAUAACACUGUAAAUAUUAUUUCGUAAUCACGAUAUAGUCAUCAGCUGAUAUCUAGACCAUCAUCUCAUCACAUCACAUGUGAUCCGCCAAAAAUGUACCCUCCGACUAAAAUUUGAAAGUCAUCCUUCGGGCCAAACACUUUCGCCACGAGCCUUUAACCCCCUCUAUGAACAAAAGCGGGUCUCAAAGACCUCUAAUAAUCAAUUUUAGAACACGGUUAAGGCUCCUCAGUGAGCUAUAUAUACACGGUCACGACCCCUUCGUCCCCAGUCGACCCCUCAAUGUAGUAUAGAGCAGAGUCAAGGCCCAUCGGUGAACUAGAAGAAGUAUAUAAUCACGGGUACUUUUAUGAUCGAUGUCAAUAUCACUUAUUGAGAUUAUAAUUGUUUUUCUUUACCAAUUAUACUUAAUUGAUAUUACUUAAUAAUCCUUCUUUACUUAACUAAUUAAAAAGAAUUCGAUUUAAUUUCUACCCCAUGUCAUGCACACCAACUAAUUAGAACAGAAAAUCAAAGUUUUUCUUUACCUUAAAUUGUACCCCGAAUACAAGAUUAAUUCCCAACAAAAGAUAGUAAAAUUUGAUGAUGAUUUCUUCUCCUCCUUCCUCUCCAACCUUCCUUUUUCCCUUUUCUCUUCCUUUCUUUCUGCCCUAGAUUUUCUUUCUCGCAUGUGUUCGCAUAAAUAUGUUUAUGCAAUUGAUUUGUUUGAAAUGGAUUAAUAUGAAAGUCUUUCUCCACCGAUCGAGCUUUUAUUUUUCUUCUUUCUUCCUUAAUUUUUUUCCCUACCUUUUCUUUUCCUCUUUUCUUCCUUCCCUUUUUCGAUUUCGGCUGCACCAUUUUUCAGCCCGUGUGUAUUUGUAAUAUGAAAGGGAAUGAAAAGCUUCUACAAAUGACACUUGUCUUCUACACUCCCAUAUUUGCAUUCAAGUCCCUCCUUUGAUGUUUUAUAUAAAAUCUAGUCAUUAACUUUCCAUUCUUGUAAUCUAAUCCCUAAGUUUAAUUGCUUAGACCCUCAAAUAUUGUCAACUGCAAAAUAAGCCCCUAGAAAAUAAUUUAUUCCAUCUAAAUCCCUAUUUGACUUGACUAGUCGAACCUUUGACUUUAAAAUACAAGCUUGACUUUGACUAAGAAUGAGUAGGAUGUAACAUAGAGUGACCUGGCCAAUAGGCCGUAGUACACGCUCAAGUACCCCAUCAGUAAAUGUAACUGCCAAAUUGAUCACUAACCUCUGAGAAUGGAUUUUGAAAGUAUGUACUCUAAUAUCCUUGAUUAUUUUCUUUUUCAAAACUAU